rnacentral:rRNA from 1 species
AUACGGAGGGUGCAAGCGUUGUUCGGAAUCACUGGGCGUAAAGGGCGCGCAGGCGGUUUGGUAAGUCAGAUGUGAAAGCCCACGGCUCAACCGUGGAAGUGCAUUUGAAACUGCCAGACUUGAGUACCAGAGGGGAAAGUGGAAUUCCCGGUGUAGAGGUGAAAUUCGUAGAUAGCGGGAGGAAUACCGGUGGCGAAGGCGACUUUCUGACUGGAUACUGACGCUGAGGCGCGAAAGCGUGGGGAGCAAACAGGAUUAGAAACCCCUGUAGUCC